rnacentral:rRNA from 1 species
UCUGGUUGAUCCUGCCAGUAGUCAUAUGCUUGUCUCAAAGAUUAAGCCAUGCAUGUCUAAGUAUAAAUGGUAUACAGUGAAACUGCGAAUGGCUCAUUAAAACAGUUAUAGUUUAUUUGAUAAUUGACAAUUACAUGGAUAACCGUGGUAAUUCUAGAGCUAAUACAUGCUUAAACGCCCGACUUUAUGGAAGGGUGGUAUUUAUUAGACUGAAGCCAAUAUUCCUUGUGUCUAUUGCGGUGAUUCAUAAUAACUGAUCGAAUCUCUUUUUGAGAUAAAUCAUUCAAGUUUCUGCCCUAUCAGCUUUCGAUGGUAGUGUAUUGGACUACCAUGGCAGUAACGGGUAACGAAGAAUUAGGGUUCGAUUUCGGAGAGGGAGCAUGAGAAACGGCUACCACAUCUAAGGAAGGCAGCAGGCGCGUAAAUUACCCAAUCCUGACUCAGGGAGGUAGUGACAAGAAAUAGCAAACCGGGAACCUCAUGGUUUCACGGUAUUGCAAUGAGAACAAUUUAAAACCCUUAGCGAGAAUCAAGUGGAGGACAAGUCUGGUGCCAGCACCCGCGGUAAUUCCAGCUCCACUAGCGUAUAUUAAAGUUGUUGCAGUUAAAAAGCUCGUAGUUGAACCUCUGUCUGGGGCUAGUUUUGGCUUCGGUCAGGCUAGCUCUAGGCAUCCGCCUACAAGACUUAGAGGGCAUUCAGUUGUUCACUAGGAGGAGUAGGCAUUUUACUUUGAAAAAAUUAGAGUGUUUAAGGCAGGCAAUCGCCCGCAUAUAUUAGCAUGGAAUAAUAGAAUAGGACACUUUUCCAUUUCGUUGGUUAUUGGAAUCGUGUAAUGAUUAAUAGGGACAGUUGUGGGCAUUUGUAUUUAAUUGUCAGAGGUGAAAUUCUUGGAUUUAUUAAAGACAAACUAACGCGAAAGCAUUUGCCAAGGAUGUUUUCAUUAAUCAAGAACGAAAGUUAGGGGAUCAAAGACGAUCAGAUACCGUCCUAGUCUUGACUAUAAACUAUUCCGACUCAAUGUUUGACUGGCUUAUAUAACCAGUUGAGCGUUGUAUGAGAAAUCAAAGUCUUUAGGUUCUGGGGGGAGUAUGGUUGCAAAGCUGAAACUUAAAGGAAUUGACGGAAGAGCACAACCAGGAGUGGAUUCUGCGGCUUAAUUUGACUCAACACGGGGAAACUUACCAGGUUAAAACAAUAGUGGGAUUGACAGUUUGAGAGCGCUUUCUUGAUUGGUUGGGUGGUGGUGCAUGGCCGUUCUUAGUUGGUGGAGUGAUUUGUCUGCUUAAUUGCGUUAACGAACGAGACCUUAACCUGCUUACUAGAC